CGCACGGGUGAGUAACACAUGGGUCACCUACCUUUCAGUGAGGAAUACCGGCGAGAAAUCGCUGACAAGACCGCAUAGGUUUGGUUGUACCAAACAAAGCUCGGGAAACCGAGCGCCACGGGAGGGGUCUGCGCCCGAUUAGUUGGUUGGUGGGGUAACGGCUCACCAAGACGACGAUCGGUAGCUGGUCUGAGAGGAUGAUCAGCCACACUGGGAUUGAGAACGGCCCAG
rnacentral:rRNA from 1 species